GACGAACCGUGCAAACGUUAUUCGGAAUCACUGGGCCUAAAGGGCGCGUAGGCGGCUUUCUAAGUCAGGGGUGAAAUCCGGCAGCUCAACUGUCGCAGUGCCUUUGAUACUGGAAAGCUCGAGGGAUGUAGGGGUCUGUGGAACUUCCGGUGGAGCGGUGAAAUGCGUUGAUAUUGGAAGGAACACCGGAGGCGAAAGCGGUGUACUGGGGCUGGUCUGACGCUGAGGCACGAAAGCCAGGGGAGCGAACGGG
rnacentral:rRNA from 1 species